rnacentral:rRNA from 1 species
AUUGAACGCUGGCGGCAAGCCUAACACAUGCAAGUCGAACGAGUGGCGGACGGGUGAGUAAUGUCUGGGAAACUGCCUGAUGGAGGGGGAUAACUACUGGCAACGGUAGCUAAUACCGCAUACCAUCGGAUGUGCCCCGAUGGGAUUAGCUAGUAGGUGGGGUAAAGGCUCACGUAGGCGACGAUCCCUUGCUGGUCUGCGCGGAUGACCAGCAAAACUGGAACUGAGACACGGUCCAGACUGCUACGGGAGGCAGCAGUGGGGAAGAGUGCACAAUGGGCGCAAGCCUGAUGAAGCCACGCCGCGUGUAUGAAGAAGGCCUGCGGGUUGUAAAGUACAGUCAGCGAGGAGGCGUUACCCGCAGAAGAAGCACCGGCUAACUCCGUGCCAGCAGCCGCGGUAAUAC